GCUGGGAGAGCACCUCCCUUACAAGGAGGGGGUCGGCGGUUCGAUCCCGUCAUCACCC
rnacentral:tRNA from 1 species